ensembl:lncRNA
GUGUGAUGGUUUGUCGUAGCGGGGUGUGGAGGAACUAGACGGCUCGGAUGAGGAAGAUUAUGCAUGGCUGAAGACGAGCCAUCGCCGGCCUGAUGGGAGGAGGGCGUCAGAGGAUGAGGGUGUGUGAGGGUGAGGUUGUGUUAGGCUGAGGGUGUGUGAGGGUGAGGUUGUGUUAGGCUGAGGGUGAGGGUGUGUGAGGGUGAGGUUGUGUUAGGCUGAGGGUGAGGGGAGUGUGAGGGUGAGGAUGAGGGUGUGUGAGGGUGAGGUUGUGUUAGGCUGAGGGUGAGGGUGUGUGAGGGUGAGGUUGUGUUAGGCUGAGGGUGAGGGUGUGUGAGGGUGAGGUUGUGUUAGGUUGAGGGUGAGGGGAGUGUGAGGGUGUGAGAGACGCUGAUGAUUGGGGAGCGAGUUGGGAACCAGUCUCUCUUAAUUGCAUCGACUUCCUCGAUGCAAUCAACUGGGAACCGGUCAGAUCCCACGACGGGACCCCUCAGAUCUGUGUUUGUGUGUCCCAAGACGACAGGACGUUGUCAGCAGUUACGUCAUCAUCGCAUGCGUCAGUGGAUUGUUUUUUUAAGGAGAGCAGCUCCACUUCCUCCCGUGUUCCUCCUCACUCCCUCCUCCCUCCCUCCUCACUCCCUCCCCCCCCCCUCCUCACUCCCCCC